ACCUACCUUGAAGUUUGGGAUAACCUCGUGAAAACGAAGCUAAUACCAAAUGGUCCCGCAAGGGUAAAGAUUUAUCGCUUCAAGAAGGGCCAAUGCACUAUCAGCUAGUUGGUGAGGUAAUGGCUCACCAAGGCUAUGACGGUUAGGAGGCUCGAGAGGGUAUUCUCCCACAUUGGCACUGAGACACUGGCCAAACUCCUACGGGAGGCUGCAGUCGAGAAUCUUCGUCAAUGCACGCAAGUGUGAACGAGCGACGCCGCGUGAGCGAUGACGCCCUUCGGGGUGUAAAGCUCUUUUGUUAGAGAUAAACUUUUGAUAGUAUCUAGCGAAUAAGAGGUUGCUAACUCUGUGCCAGCAGCAGCGGUAAUACAGAGACCUCAAGCGUUAUCCGGAUUUAUUGGGCGUAAAGCGUCUGUAGGUUGAAUAAAUAGU
rnacentral:rRNA from 1 species